rnacentral:piRNA from 1 species
UACAAUAAAUAUGGAAGUUGGGUUUCUCA